rnacentral:rRNA from 1 species
GACGAACGCUGGCGGCGUGCUUAACACAUGCAAGUCGAACGGUGAAGCAGAACUUGCUCUGUGGAUCAGUGGCGAACGGGUGAGUAACACGUGAGCAACCUGCCCCGGACUCUGGGAUAAGCGCUGGAAACGGCGUCUAAUACUGGAUACGAGCUUCAGCCGCAUGGCUAGGAGCUGGAAAGAUUUUUUGGUCUGGGAUGGGCUCGCGGCCUAUCAGCUUGUUGGUGAGGUAAUGGCUCACCAAGGCGUCGACGGGUAGCCGGCCUGAGAGGGUGACCGGCCACACUGGGACUGAGACACGGCCCAGACUCCUACGGGAGGCAGCAGUGGGGAAUAUUGCACAAUGGGCGGAAGCCUGAUGCAGCAACGCCGCGUGAGGGAUGACGGCCUUCGGGUUGUAAACCUCUUUUAGCAAGGAAGAAGCGAAAGUGACGGUACUUGCAGAAAAAGCGCCGGCUAACUACGUGCCAGCCGCCGCCGUAA